GAUGAACGCUUGCGGCGUGCCUAAUACAUGCAAGUAGAACGCUGAAGGAAGGAGCUUGCUCUUUCCGGAUGAGUUGCGAACGGGUGAGUAACGCGUAGGUAACCUGCCUGGUAGCGGGGGAUAACUAUUGGAAACGAUAGCUAAUACCGCAUAACAGUAGAUGUUGCAUGAUAUCUACUUAAAAGGUGCAAUUGCACCACUACCAGAUGGACCUGCGUUGUAUUAGCUAGUUGGUGAGGUAACGGCUCACCAAGGCGACGAUACAUAGCCGACCUGAGAGGGUGAUCGGCCACACUGGGACUGAGACACGGCCCAGACUCCUACGGGAGGCAGCAGUAGGGAAUCUUCGGCAAGGGACGGAAGUCUGACCGAGCAACGCCGCGGGAGUGAAGAAGGGUUUCGGAUCGUAAAGCUCUGUUGUAAGAGAAGAACGAGUGUGAGAGUGGAAAGUUCACACUGUGACGGUAUCUUACCAGAAAGGGACGGCUAACUACGUG
rnacentral:rRNA from 1 species